UCGUUCCUCUAACACAGACCUCCUCUAGCUCUCAGGCCUGAGCUCCUGAGAGAAAGUCCCCAGACCUACACAGAUCAUGAGAGACUCGGCCGCACAGCAGAGAGGCAGAGGCACAUGGGUGCUAACUUCCCAAAAAAAACAAUGAUGAAGUGCUCUUCCUGUCCAACUGGCAAGUCUAUGACUUUAACUUCCACCGCUGAGCUCCCAGAGCACAACCAGGACUGACCUGGCCAUCUCUAUCUACUCCCUGGGACUCUGUGGUUCUUGGCGCCUGCACCGGGAGGAUUCCUCAGUGUCCCAUUUCUGUCAUUGGUGGGAAGCUGGCUCUGUCCUGUAGGAGAAGGCAGAAACCAGUUUUCCUCCUUGUCCAAUGAGUCAUCAGUCAAAGACUUGGGAUUGCCCUGCCUCAGACACCUGAAGAGGCAGUGAGUCUCUACGAUGUAUCAUGGCAGCCUCAUCUCACUCUUCCUCUGCCUCCAGAUGGC